rnacentral:misc_RNA from 1 species
GUAUUUUUUGUUUUGUUAAUAACUGAGGCUGUUACACACUCAGUCGUUGUUUUAUAAUCCUAGAGGGUUAUAGUGUUUUGUUUGUUGGAGUAGUAUGUCUACAGAUGUAGUAUUAUUUGUCUCACUGUGGGGUUCAAGAUGUAACUGAAUAAACAGCAACACGGUCUCCCCACAAUGGAAAAGAUAAGUUAUAAAAGGUUCAACAAGUUGACAAGUGUUUUGUUAGUUAACUCCUAGCCCCAAAAAGAGACCAGGAGAACAACAAUAAAAUUGGUAAUGAUCCAUCCGCAGGUUCACCUACGGAUA